rnacentral:rRNA from 1 species
GACGAACGCUGGCGGCGUGCCUAAUACAUGCAAGUAGAACGCUGAAGGAGGAGCUUGCUUCUCUGGAUGAGUUGCGAACGGGUGAGUAACGCGUAGGUAACCUGCCUGGUAGCGGGGGAUAACUAUUGGAAACGAUAGCUAAUACCGCAUAACAGUAGAUAUUGCAUGAUAUCUGCUUGAAAGGUGCAAAUGCAUCACUACCAGAUGGACCUGCGUUGUAUUAGCUAGUUGGUGAGGUAACGGCUCACCAAGGCAACGAUACAUAGCCGACCUGAGAGGGUGAUCGGCCACACUGGGACUGAGACACGGCCCAGACUCCUACGGGAGGCAGCAGUAGGGAAUCUUCGGCAAUGGACGGAAGUCUGACCGAGCAACGCCGCGUGAGUGAAGAAGGUUUUCGGAUCGUAAAGCUCUGUUGUAAGAGAAGAACGAGUGUGAGAGUGGAAAGUUCACACUGUGACGGUAUCUACCA